UGGCCACGUCACGUUGAAACACCUGUUCCCGUACAAUCACCGAAGUUAAGCAACGUCGAGCUUGUCCAGUACCUAGAUGGGUGGCCCUUUGGGAAUACCAGGUGCUGUAA